AUGCAAGCUCGAACGGCAGCACGGGCUGCUCUGCACCUGGUGGCGAGCUGGCGGACGGGCUGAGUAAUGCAUCGGAACAUGCCCACUUGUGGGGGAUAACGCACCGAAAGGUGUGCUAACUACCGCAUAAGCCCUGAGGGGGAAAGCAGGGGAUCUUCGGACCUUGCGCAGGUGGAGUGGCCGAUGUCGGAUUAUCUAGUUGGUGAGGUAACGGCUCACCAAGGCUACGAUCCGUAGCUGGUCUGAGAGGAUGAUCAGCCACACUGGAACUGAGAACGGUCCAGACUCCUACGGGAGGCAGCAGUGGGGAAUUUUGGACAAUGGGGGCAACCCUGAUCCAGCCAUGCCGCGUGAGUGAAGAAGGCCUUCGGGUUGUAAAGCUCUUUCGGCCGGGAAGAAAUCGUGCAGACUAAUAAUCUGUAUGGAUGACGGUACCGGAAUAAGAAGCACCGGCUAACUACGUGCCAGCAGCCGCGGUAAUACGUAGGGUGCGAGCGUUAAUCGGAAUUACUGGGCGUAAAGCGUGCGCAGGCGGUUUUGUAAGACAGGCGUGAAAUCCCCGGGCUCAACCUGGGCAUGGCGCUUGUGACUGCAAGGCUAGAGUACGGCAGAGGGGGGUAGAAUUCCACGUGUAGCAGUGAAAUGCGUAGAGAUGUGGAGGAAUACCGAUGGCGAAGGCAGCCCCCUGGGUCGAUACUGACGCUCAUGCACGAAAGCGUGGGGAGCAAACAGGAUUAGAUACCCUGGUAGUCCACGCCCUAAACGAUGUCAACUAGGUGUUGGUAGGGUAAAACCUAUUA
rnacentral:rRNA from 1 species